rnacentral:rRNA from 1 species
GAUGAACGCUGGCGGCGUGCCUAAUACAUGCAAGUCGAGCGAACAGACGAGGAGCUUGCUCCUCUGACGUUAGCGGCGGACGGGUGAGUAACACGUGGAUAACCUACCUAUAAGACUGGGAUAACUUCGGAAAACCGGAGCUAAUACCGGAUAAUAUAUUGAACCGCAUGGUUCAAUAGUGAAAGACGGUUUUGCUGUCACUUAUAGAUGGAUCCGCGCCGCAUUAGCUAGUUGGUAAGGUAACGGCUUACCAAGGCAACGAUGCGUAGCCGACCUGAGAGGGUGAUCGGCCACACUGGAACUGAGACACGGUCCAGACUCCUACGGGAGGCAGCAGUAGGGAAUCUUCCGCAAUGGGCGAAAGCCUGACGGAGCAACGCCGCGUGAGUGAUGAAGGUCUUCGGAUCGUAAAACUCUGUUAUUAGGGAAGAACAAAUGUGUAAGUAACUAUGCACGUCUUGACGGUACCUAAUCAGAAAGCCACGGCUAACUACGU